GUUUCCAACUGAAAAGAAACUUUGUGUUCCCAACAAGUUAGGUGAAGUACAGAUUUCACACUCACAUAUCGUUCAGAACUGAGCAUGUGGAGAGAUGUUCAUUCAUCUACCACAAGUGGAAUGGGUUGCAGGAGAAACACUUUCUCUUGUUUCUUAAUCUGUGUCCUAGUGCUGGUUAAAAAUUCCUGCAGUUUUAGUGUAAAACCGAGUCAGAGCUAGUACCUCCAGAUAUAUAUGUAUGCAGUGUAGUUUCCAACAGAAAAUAACUCUGUUAUCCCAACAAGCUAGGUGAAGGAAGGCUUUCACACACACUUAUCUCUAUGACAAGAACAUGUGGAGAGACUUACGUUCAUCUGGCACAAAGGGGACUGGUUGAAGGAGAAUCUUUUACUCUGGAUUCUCAGUCUGUUUCUUCUGGCCAGUUUGAAGUUCCUGCAGUUUUCACAGUAAAUCUAAGUUGGGGCCAAUUCAUCACCAUAUAUAUGCAAGUAUUGGGGUUUGAAACUGGAAAGGAACUUUCUGUUCCCAACAAACUAGGAGAAGGAUGGCUUUCUCACACAAUUAAUUCAGAGAACUGAGCAAGUAGAGGCACUUUCGUUCAUCUAGCACAAAAGAAACGUGUUGCAGGAGAAACACUUACUCUGCUUUCUCAGGCUGUUUCCUAGUGCUGGUUUGAAGUUCCUGCAGUUUUCACCAUAAAACGGAUUUGGAGCCAGUACCUCCCCAUUUAUAUGUAUGGAGUGGAGUUUGAACCUGGAAAGGAACUUUGUGCUCCCAACAGGCUAGUUGAAGGACGGCUUUCACACA